GGCCGAGUAGGCGGCGAACUGUAGACUCGCCCACGGGGCAUUAUGCCCCUCUUGCCAA
rnacentral:tRNA from 2 species